CUUAGUGGCGGACGGGUGAGUAACGCGUGGGUAACCUGCCUUGCACUGGGGGAUAACACUUAGAAAUAGGCGCUAAUACCGCAUAAGCGCACGGUCCUGCAUGGGACAGUGUGAAAAACUCCGGUGGUGCAAGAUGGACCCGCGUCUGAUUAGCUGGUUGGCGGGGUAAAGGCCCACCAAGGCGACGAUCAGUAGCCGGCCUGAGAGGGUGGACGGCACAUUGGGACUGAGACACGGCCCAAACUCCUACGGAAGGCAGCAG
rnacentral:rRNA from 1 species